rnacentral:lncRNA from 1 species
UGCCUGCCCUUCUUGUGGUGAAGGAAGUAUGUCCCUGGAAAGGCUGCUGAGUCUUGAACUGCUUCUAGGGGAGUUGCGGGUGGCACACGUCUCUGCUACUAUCGCGGUGAGGCAGAGCUAUAGGGAGCCAAAAACCAGGGUUUCCUUGUCACAGGCCCAGUUCUGAACGGGAGGUAGAAUCUGGUAAAGUAGUCCAGUUGUUCUUGGAUAACCAUGUGACCUGUUCUCCUCAAUAUCUUGAUUACCUGUGGGAAUUUUAAUAAUUUUAGCCUCAUUUCAUGGUAUUUUUGU